rnacentral:rRNA from 1 species
UACGUAGGGGGCAAGCGUUGUCCGGAUUUAUUGGGCGUAAAGCGCUCGCAGGUGGUUCGUUGCGUCGUGCGUGAAAGACCCCGGCUCAACUGGGGGAUGUCGUGCGAUACGGGCGGACUGGAGGCCAGUAGGGGGAUGCGGAAUUCCGGGUGUAGUGGUGGAAUGCGUAGAGAUCCGGAGGAACACCAGCGGCGAAGGCG